CAAACAACCAAUAUCAGGAAUGAAAGGAUAUUACAAAUCCUAGAGUCAUCUGACAAAAUAUGUGCACAACUUCAUGCCAAUUAGUUGGAAAUUUUAGAUGAAGUGAAUAAAUUCUUUAAACUAUGGAAGAGCCAAAAUUGACAAAUGAAAAAAUAGAAAAUUCGAGUAGUUCCCUAUCUGCUAAAGAAGUGGAACCUAUAGUUACUUUAUUUGCUUUUCCAUAGUGAAACAACAAGCCUAGAUGGAUUGAUUCGUCAAUGGAAAGACAAUCUUAAAUUCUUACAAAGAGCAGUAGAAAUGCAGGAACCCUCCCCAACUCAUUUUAUGAUGCCAGAAAACCUAGAUACCAAAACCUGGCAAAAACUUUAUGAGAAAGGGACCUAUUUCAUUCCCCCCAACAUCAAUGCAAAAAUCCCAAACAAAAUACUAGCAAACUAAACUACACACAUACACACACACACACACACCCCUACACACACAGAAUAAUCACAAUCAAGUUGGGUUUCUUCCUGAAAAAGUGAGGUUGGUGUGAUAGUUGCAAAUCAAUCAAUAUGAUUCAACACAUUAACAGAAUGAAAGGAGAAAAAUAAUAUUUCAGUAGAUCCAGAAAAAGUAUUUGAUAAACCAGUAUCCACUCAUAAAAAGUUUGCUUUUUAAUAUUCAUCUUUAUUUUUCUUAUCUUGAGUAUGCACAUAAGAUGUUCAGAGUCAGAGAUAGAUUUCUUAUUACUCAGGGUAAACAAGUGCACCUGCCCACCUUUGCACUCGUCCAUAUCCCCCAGAGCAACCUGAUAAGAAACUCAUGGGAUUUUGGCUAUGUAAGUGGCCAAAUACUGCAUAGGCAAGGGACAGGGAAAAUUAAUUUUCCCUACUUAUAAAGAUGAAAGAGGCAGCCAUCCUCUUCCCUUCCUGAAAGAGUCUGCUUUUACUCUAUUCUUGUGGUAGACAAAGUCUCUCCAAAAGCCAGAUAGCCAACCCCAUGUGUCUCCAAGAGCUGUCUCCUACAUCCCAGGGAAUACCUAGGAAGAUAGCAUAUUAGAAAUGAGGAAAGGUCUCAGCACAAUAACCUAAGUUCCCACCACAAGAAACAAGAAAAAGAAUAGCAAAAUAAGCCCAAAGCAGGCAAAAGAAAGGAAAUAACCAAAAGCAGAAAUCAAUGAAACUGCAAAUAGAAAAAUACAUAAACAAAAAACUGGUUCUUCAAAAAACAAUCAAGAAAAUCCAUAAACCUGUAGAAAGACUGACAAAAAGAAAAAACACAAAUCAUUAUUAUCAAGAAUGAAAUGAAGAGUAUCACUAUAAAUCAGGCAGUCAUUAAAAAGAUAAUGAGGAAAUACUGUAACUUUCGGCUUAUACACAUGACAACUUAGAAGAAAUAAUCUGAUUCUUGAAAACCACAAACUAUUAAAACUCAACCAAGAUGAAAUAAUCUGAAUAUCCUAUAACCAUUAAAGAAUUAAAUUCAUAAUUUAAAAUCUCCUGAUAAAAGAAAUCUCCAGACCCAGAUGCCCUGGCUUCUUUGAGGUUCUUCCAUGUUGUUUUAUGUAUCAAUCAUUCAUUAUUUUUUAUCGCUGAGUAGUGCUGCAUGGUAUAGAAUAUAACAGUUUGUUUAUACCAUUCACCUGUUGAUGGACAUUUGUUGGUUCCAGUUUUGGGCUAUUAUGUAAAGCUGCUAUGAGCAUUCAUUUACAAGUCUUUAUGUGGACAUAAGCUUUCAUUUCUCUUGGGCAAAUACCUAGGACUGGGAUGGCUAAAUCAUAUGAUAAGUGUAUAUUUAAAUUUUUAAGGAACUGCUAAAAGUCUUUUUCAAGUUAAUUGUACCUUUUGACAUUCCCGCCAGCAGUUUAUGUGUACAAAAUGUAUAAUUACAUUUAUGUAAAACUAUAAAAUGCAAACUAAUCUAUAAUAAUGCAAGCACAUCAUUGGUUGCCUGGAAUGGGGUGGGCGAGGGGAAAUGAUUACAAAAGGGCAAAGGGAAACUUCUGGGGCUGAUAUAUGUGUUUACUCUCUUGAUUGUGGUUAUGGUUCACAAGUGUAGCCAUAUGGCAAAACUUAACAAAUUGUACACUUUAAAUAUAUGCAGUUUAUCAUACAUCAAUUAUACCUCAGUAAAGGUGUCAGAAAUAACAGGAUAUUUAUAUUUAAAUCUACCUUUGAAUUACCGAUUGUGACUGAGGUCUCAUGUGGCUUACUGGUGAAUCCAGUAGUUGAGGAAACGAAAGCCGUCACUUCUGCUAACUCUUUUACCAACUCACCUGCUGUCACCUUACACAACCCCAACUGUGUUUCAGCUUUGGAGUAAUGAACACACCAUUUUCUUCCUACUUAAAAGUCCACUCAGGAUAAUGAUUAAGAAAUACAUUGAUGCCGAGUAAUAAAUACUUUAAAAAAAGUUAAAUGUGAACAUUUGGCUUUCACAGCUCUUGACUGUCUUUGGCGAACCUUGACAUAAAGCUGCCUUUUCCAUCUUGGGCUGCUGACAAAAAAGCCUAAGAAAGAAAGAGGGUGUGUACAGAAAAUUACAUGCCAUAGAAAAAUACCAUACACAGGCCGGGAGCGGUGGCACUUUGGGAGGCCAGGGCGGGUGGAUCAUUUGAGGUCAGGAGUUUGAGACCAGCCUGGCCAACAUGGUGAAACCCCCGUCUCUACUAAAAAUACAAAACUUAGCCGGGCAUGGUGGUGCACACCUGUAGUCCCAGCUACUUGGGAGGUUGAGGCAGGAGGAUCGCUUGAACCCAGGAGGCAGAGAUUGCGGUGAACUGAGAUAGUGCCACUGUACUCUAGCCUGGGCGACACAGUAAGACUCCAUCUCCAAAAGAAAGAAAGAAAGAAAGAAAAAAAUGCCAUACAGAUGAAUCUUUAAAGAUUUUAAUUUAUAUAUACCUCUUCUACCAUUCAUUGGCUGGAGUAGUUGAACAGACAUCAGCAGGCACAAUGCUAGGCAGGCACUGGAGAUUCAGUGAUGAAUAAAACAAAACUGACCUGGAACCUGGCCUCCUGAAGCUUCUCUUCAUCUGUCUAAAUUCCUUUCUUUCAAGGCCCAGUGCAAGUGACACCUUCAUCAGGAAGGGCUUCCACAUGAUUCUAUCUGCAAAUCUCCCUUUUCUGAACUAUUAUGCUUAUAGUCUGUACCAGGCCACAUGACAUAUGUUAUUUUGUGGCAUUCUAGAAUUAUUCCAAUCUUUUCAUUCUUAUAAUUGGUGUGUUGUAUUCAAUAAAUAAUGUUGUUAUUCCAGUUUU
rnacentral:lncRNA from 10 species